rnacentral:lncRNA from 1 species
AAUAGGGCAUUAAGCGAUCAAAUUCUCUUCUCUAGCUAUGAAGUCUUUCGUCUCCUCAUCUCUCUCUCUCAAUGUAUAGGAUCCAUUCUCUCCCUCUUUUUAUGGAUCCUACGAACCACACUCCUCCUAUCAUGAAAUCGGAUUGAAGAAUUUUGGUUUAAGGUUUGGCUAUGAUUUCUUUUCUGUGAUUAACUGCGCAUUGUAUAUAAGUUUUCUCUAUUCUAAUGUUUCAAUUUGUUUUUUUAUUUUAAAAUUAAAUUGAUAUUUUUUACAUGAAGUUCUAUAUAAUGAUUAUAUAGCUCACAUAAAUGUAAUUAAUUUCUACCCAGAGAAUCAAACUUCGAUGCCAGGCGACAAUUAAUAGCAUUGAUACUUCUACUGGUUGGUGUUGCAAAAUAUUUCUUAAAAAAAUCAACCAAUUUACUGGUAAAUUUAAUUCGAUUGAAAUUUUUCAUGUUUUAGAUAAUAUAAUAGAUCAUGUUGGUGCAAUUUUAAUCAUUAAUUCAAUAGUUGCAAUUUUAUUAUUAAUAAAUAAUCACUCACUACAUAAAUUUUAUAUUAAUUUUCUGAUAGAAUCUCAACCAUUUAAUUGAAAUUUAAUCCUGAAUAACAAUAUAAGUCAUAAUCCAACAUGAACAUGAGAGGAUCCUAAUCCAAUUUAAUUAACCAUUAUUUUUCUAUCUGAUUUAAUAGGAUUAAGAUCCUCUCAUUUUAUUCUUAAUAAGAGGUCAUAACAUUUCCAAGGCACUUAAAUUUCUAUUAUUUAUGGAUGAUUUGAUUUCUUGGACACCGUUCUUUCUAACUUUUAAUGAAUUUUAAAGAACAAAUAUUCUUUAUCAGUCUCUGACUUAGAUAAAUUUAUGAAUUUAAUUCAAUUAUUUGUUUAUAAUCUUAAUAAUCUUAUAAACAAUGAAUUUUUUUUUAUGACUCACAAAUCAAUUAGAUAAAAUAAUAAGUGAUCCUUUCUCCUUGUUAGUAGAUCCUUUAUCGAUCUAAAUUGUAUAUAUUUUAGAGCGUUAAAUGAUUUGUUUCUAUAUAUAAUAUGGUAUAAAGAUGUAUUUUAACUCACUUUAGUUUUUCUUGUUUAAAUUCAGGAAAUAAUGCAAAAAAUGAGAAUUUGAGCUUAAAACGCACUAAUGAGCGUAAUUGGACUGCGAUUAUUAAAGGCUCGAGAAUCAGACACGUGGGCUAUUAAUAGUUUAGGCCUAGCUUAAUUCAUUAAGGCUCAAAAAGGAGAGUUUAACUAAUUAUUAUGUAAUUAGUGGAUAAUUAUCAUUUGAGUUGUUUAGUUUGUUUAAGAUAAUAAGGGAUAAACUAUAGGAGUUGUGUGUGGAGAAAAGAACUCUAGAGAAGAGAAAGGAAUCUCUACAAGGAGUAGAGGUGAAUUAGAAUAUGUGUGCUUCGGCUACUGAAUCUCUGGAGAAAAAGGGUCCUAUUAUUCUCUGCAGAAAAAUCCGGAGUUCAUCAUCUUUGACAUCUUACUAGCUUGUGUUGCAUUAUUCUUUGAAGAAUCAGAGAAGCUUUUCGAAGACAUGGAGAAAGGGGACCAAUCUUCUUCAUUCCUUGAAAAGCCUUUGAACUUUGAGGGAGUUUUAGUUUUCUAUUUUAUGAAUCUUAAGUCUUUCUAUUUAAUUACAAUGAUCAUUGGAUUAAGUAUGUUAGGCUAAGUCCCAUAAGUAUUUAGUUUGGCUUUUUACUUAUAUAUGAACCUUAUAUAUUUUGAGUUUAAUGAAUGAUUUCUUUUUCUUCAUCUGUUCAUUAGUUUCAUCUAUUAUUAUUGAUUGACUAUCAUAUCAAUUUAGUAGUAAUAUGUGUUAAGAAAAUCUUUAGGUUAAAAGUAUUAGAGACAUCAUUUUUACUUUAAUCUAUGUUGGUAUAAGAAACUUAAGUUGCAUCAUUAGCUUUAGUGACUUAGGGAAAAGGCGCAUCAUCAUCUC